ACGACAUCCUAUAUUCUCGUCUAGGAAAGUUCGCGUAAGAGACGUGAAUACGAUUCUUUAUGGAAGCCUGCAAGCAUCAAAACGAUGCUCACACGUUCCCGAGACCCACAUUACAAAUAUUCACACUGCCGCUUGAUGGGUCAAAAACGAGCACGAAUUUGAUCAGACCGCUUUCUCUAGCUCAUAAGCUCGAGAGCAGAAACCAAAAACCCUUUUUAGUGCAAAGACACCUCAUUCGAGAUAAUGAUAGAUAUGGCCCACGUCUCGUUCAAAAAACCAA
rnacentral:lncRNA from 1 species